CCCCCACUUCUCCAACUCCUGCUUGCAGCAAAUGCCCUAGCCUCCACCAAAGAAAGCAAACCCUAGCAGCCUCCACCAAUCGUCGUCGCCGUCUGUCGGAAUGGGAGAUUGUUGCCGCCGUCCGUCGCACUCAAGAACUACCGUCUUCGUGUUCUCGGGCCUCUCGCUGGAUCCUCCGCGUCGUGUGCUUGCAUCUCGCCUCUCUCCUCUGUGCUCGGCUGCUUGCGCCUCCCUCCGCCAGUGAGUGCUCGAGCUGUGCGCGUUGGUUGCUGCUCGUCGUCCGUGGUUGUCUCUGCUCGAUUCUGCCUCCAAGUGUCACUGGAGUCUCGUCUCAGUCACUGGCAUCUCGUGGUUCGCCUGUCUCGUCGCCGGCGGCAGAAGCAACUCGUGGGGUUGUCUCUUGCUUCGUCGCCUUCCGUGGGGUGGUCGCUCACUCGCCGUCGGACGUUGAUUCAGUGUUGGCUUCAAAUUUCAAAUGGGAAUUAGGAGCUGGUGAAGAUAACAACAUCUUUCUGGAACUGAUACAGACAAAAGUUGUCUCCGCUGCUUCUUGCACCUCCAGCACGCUAUUCUCUGCCUUGCGCUACUUGAAGAAGAGGAAGGUUUUUCCCCACUGUUUAAUUUAAUAAAUUAGUUUCAACAAAUGUUUUGAGGAUACAGUAGUUAGUUGACUAAAAUAGAAAGAGAAAUAACGUUGGUGAUUUUGGGAAUUUGCUUAUUUAUUUGUGGGUUUGAGAAUACUAGUAAUCUGGUAUGAAUGGCUUUUCAUGUUUACAUUGAUAAUAUAAAGAAGAAAUCAAAAUGAUUUAGCCUGAUUCAUUUAGUUCUUAAGCAUAGUGUACUCCAUAACUCCGGAACGAACAAAUUUUUGUAGAACUUGCUAGGACCAUGGAAGGAUUUGCUGCAGACUUUGGACUUUAUGGCAAUUCAACAUCUGGUUUUGCUUCAUCGCGAUGGGAUUGGUCGUUUCUCUCCAACGCACACGUCAACAACAGUGCUCCUUUCACUCGAUUGGAUCCAAAAGAUAAAAGUAAGACCAUGGGAUUGGAAGCUGAGUCAAAAGCAGUAUCUCAAGAUUGUGGGAAAGGUUGCAACAAUUGCAUGCCCAUGCAAAUCGAGAUACAAGGACUAAAGGAAGAAAUAAGCGACAAAGUCAAAAGAUGGAUGAGAUGGCUGUACUACUAAGACAACUUGUGUUGAAGGCUGAUGCAGACCCAUCUGUUGAUGUCAAGACUGUUGCAUCAACAACCAAGUCAAGAAGACGAUCCACUUCAAAACAAAAAGGCAUGCGUAAGGAUACACCUAUUGAUGUACCAGAUUACAGCUCGGACCAUUUGGCUUUUCGUCACUCAAGGCGUAAAAGGAAGACCUCAUCAACUGGGACACCUAAACAAAUUAUCUCUGGGAAAAAUGAUAAGUUGACGAGGACUUUGUUCUCGGACAAAGAUGAGGCCAAAGACCAAAAAGAAAGGACACCACAAACUAACAAAAUUGGUCCAUCAAGACCUGCAACACAUAUUGGUGAAAGACCUUAUGUCGAUCUAACUGUGCAGGGAUUUGACCCAAACCAAGCAGAAGUAGGUGACAAAAUUCCAAAGAGCAUUAUUUCAAAUUUAGUGGCGCAAAGGAUGGGAAUGAUAAGGUAAAUAACAAUGCCGAAGUUGUUGAAGUUGGUGGUAAUAAUAAGAAGCGUGCUAAUGAUAGUGGCAAGGAUGUUGAAGUUGGUGAUGAUGUCAAGGAGGCAUUUGAAGAUGGUGCAUUGGUUGCUGUUUCUAAUGCUAGUACUAAGAGGUGCCCAACAAGUCUGAAGGAGCUUCUAGCCAUGAGGAUUCUUGAGGGUUUGGCAGUGAAUUAUGCUCAGAGUGUGAAGGCAUUGACUGAUUUUCCUUCUUAUUGUGCUGGAGAAGCAGAGCUUUGGGAAGUGAUUAAUGGCUAUGGGAUUGUGUGCCAUUGUGAAGAUUGCCAUGGUGUUGAGGUAAGUAAAAUGAAGAUGCAUUUAGACGAGUUAAUUUCCACUUAAAAACCACCAGCCUCAACUCCAAAUCACUUCCCUGAUUUAACAUGUUAGUUGGAAGGUAGUUAUACCUGAGCUACUAUAUAAGGCUUUAGUUGAAAUAGAUUGUUUUAUUUUUUUACUGUGAUGCCAAUUUUCUUUUUCAGGUAGUCAUCAUUGUUGUUGUGAUGAUAAUCAUAACAAUUCUUUUUAAUGGUUAUUACAAAUAGUCAAUCAGUUGAUUUUAUUUCAUGUGACGGACUGUUUAUGAUUAGCCAUAUACAUGGUUUUAUGAUUGGUUCUGGUUUCUGAUGCUCAAUUAUUAAGGUGGGGAGAAAGAAAAUUACCUUUGGCAUUCUAAGUACGUCUUUGAUUCCCCACUUUGGCUGAAAGCCAAUCCCCAAAACUCUGAUGCUCACUUCCUCAGCAACAAUGAACUAAUACAGAGCAGAUUUAAAUGCACAGCAGAGGGAGAAGGAGAAGAGAGUAGACGCACUGCCUAGUGCUUACCUGCAACUGAUGCCGCCACAACAGCAACGUACAGGAGAGAAGACAGCCACAGUGUCACCAAGCCACCCACACAGGUUACUUUGGUGAUAGCGAGAGGGGAAGGAUAGUCUAGAGACGGAGAGAGUGAGAGAUAGCACCUAGGUUCUCCCUUCCCUGUAUAACUCCAAAAAAAAAAUAUAUGGCUUAGUACCCAACACACAAAUGUACAAUACUAAAGUAUAAUAAUAAAUUGUUUGACAAUAAAGAAAUACAAAUUUUGACCGACCCCACCUGAAUGUGGAAGAAUCAUUCAAUGCAAUUCAUACUUCA